CUGAAAUCUGAAAAAAGGAAAAGGAGAAGAAACAAAAGAACUGCACAUGUUGAAUUUUAUGGCUUGCUACACUGCUCUCACUUCUCUUCAGCGUGGCUGCUGUUCUUCACUUCUCCCUGAGAGGACUGAACCAUCCUGGAGGGAUCCUGCCACUUCCUGAGUGAAUUACUUCUGACAUCUCACUUGUAAUCUGAAACAUGGAACCAAAUCUUGUUUCAGGCAAGUUUUGCUAACUGUUU
rnacentral:lncRNA from 1 species